UGGUCAUAUUGUCUCUCUGUCCUGUCUCUGACUGGUCAUAUUGUCUCUCUGUCCUGUCUCUGACUGGUCAUAUUGUCUCUCUGUCCUGUCUCUGACUGCUCAUAUUGUCUCUGUCCUGUCUCUGACUGCUCAUAUUGUCUCUGUCCUGUCUCUGACUGCUCAUAUUGUCUCUGACCUGUCUCUGACCUGUCUCUGACUGCUCAUAUUGUCUCUGUCCUGUCGCUGACUGCUCAUAUUGUCUCUGUCCUGUCUCUGACUGCUCAUAUUGUCUCUGUCCUGUCUCUGACUGCUCAUAUUGUCUCUGUCCUGUCUCUGACUGCUCAUAUUGUCUCUGUCCUGUCUCUCUCUCUCUCUCUCUCUCUCUCUCUAAAUGGUAGAGUAGUGGGAGAAGUCUCUCUCUCUCUAUCUCUCGUUCGUUCGUUUGUUCGUUGUAUUAAAUGAGAGCGGAUAACCUGUCGAACCUUUUAUAAAGUUAGUAGCCUGAUUUGAUAUGAAACACUUUUCCCCAAAGCCUUUUUGAAGCCUGGGUCACGUUCAUCAGGCACCAAAUGGACACAAACGGGGAGUACUAUUUUUUUUAUUUUUGUUUUGUGUGUGUUGCACAAUGUUUUUGAAACGUAUUGCUACGAUGGGCCCUAAUGAACACGACCCAGGUGUGACGCCCAUGGACAAACAGGCAGCAAGUCAACAAGGAUAUUAUGAACAUUUUUAAAGGGCUUUUACCUCAAGUGUAAAACCAGUGUGAGAAAGAGACAGCUUAGGGGCUGUAGUAGUGUAAUUCAUCCUGAUUCUGUUGUCUUUUUUUUUUUUAAUUAAAGUUUUCACAUAAUAACAAAAAUAUACUUGUCCAUCUUAUUAUGCAACUGAUGAACUUUUUCUGAGUCUUCUUGUGUGAAAGACUGGUCUCCUGACAUGCGUUGAUAUGAUUGGUAGGGCAAGGUGUCUCAACUGUCUGUCCUGUUAGUUUUUUUGCAUGUCUCCUGAUGAACGUAAAACUACCACCUGCAUCCCAAAUGGAACACUAUUCCCUACUUAGUGCACUACUUUACACCAGAGCCCUAUGGAACCCUAUUCCCUAUAUAGUGCACUACUUUAGACCAGAGCCCUAUGGAACCCUAUUCCCUAUAUAGUACACUACUUUAGACCAGAGCCCUAUGGAACCCUAUUCCCUAUAUAGUGCACUACUUUAGACCAGAGCCCUAUGGAACCCUAUUCCCUACUUAGUGCACUACUUUAGACCAGAACCCUAUGGAACCCUAUUCCCUACUUAGUGCACUACUUUAGACCAGAGCCCUAUGGGCCCUAUAUAGGGAAUAGGGUGCAGUUUGGAACUAAGAGUUAGUUUCAAAACCACUUGCUAGAGGAGCUCUGGAAAAAUGAUAACACUUUACUUCAAGCCUGCAGGUAUAAUGCUUCAUAACUGCUCAUAAGCACCUAUAAGAGUAUUAUCUUGUCUCUUUAUGUCAACUGACUCAAACGGCUGGUAUUUCAUCCAUUAUGAGAUGAGACAUUUAUAAUAGGGUCAUAUGCUUAUGACAAUGCAUUAUAGCCGCAUCAUAAUGCAUUAUAACCUCUGGUAUUAAGUAAAGUUGUACUGAAGUUACGACUGGUUUUUCACUACCGUCCAUGAUGAUAGACCCAUUAUCUCCUACCUGUUCUACACUGGUCCCCCACAGCGGUUAGUCUCCUACCUGUUCUACACUGGUCCCCCACAGCAGUUAGUCUCCUACCUGUUCUACACUGGUCCCCCACAGCGGUUAGUCUCCUAGCCUGGUCCCCCAGCGCGGUUAGUCUCCUAGCCUGGCUCCCCCCCCAGCGGUUAGUCUGCUAGCCUGGCUCCCCCCCAGCGGUUAGUCUCCUAGCCUGGCUCCCCCCAGCGGUUAGUCUCCUAGCCUGGUCCCCCCCAGCGGUUAGUCUCCUAG
rnacentral:lncRNA from 1 species